rnacentral:rRNA from 1 species
CCUACGGGAGGCAGCAGUGAGGAAUAUUGGUCAAUGGACGAGAGUCUGAACCAGCCAAGUAGCGUGAAGGAUGACUGCCCUAUGGGUUGUAAACUUCUUUUAUAAAGGAAUAAAACGAGGCACGUGUGCCUUUUUGCAUGUACUUUAUGAAUAAGGAUCGGCUAACUCCGUGCCAGCAGCCGCGGUAAUACGGAGGAUCCGAGCGUUAUCCGGAUUUAUUGGGUUUAAAGGGAGCGUAGGUGGGUUGUUAAGUCAGUUGUGAAAGUUUGCGGCUCAACCGUAAAAUUGCAAUUGAUACUGGCAGUCGUGAGUACAGUUGAGGUAGGCGGAAUUCGUGGUGUAGCGGUGAAAUGCUUAGAUAUCACGAAGAACCCCGAUUGCGAAGGCAGCUUACUAAACUGUGACUGACAUUGAUGCUCGAAAGUGUGGGUAUCAAACAGGAUUAGAUACCCUUGUAGUC